rnacentral:rRNA from 1 species
GUGGGGAAUCUUGCGCAAUGGGCGAAAGCCUGACGCAGCCAUGCCGCGUGAAUGAUGAAGGUCUUAGGAUUGUAAAAUUCUUUCACCGGGGACGAUAAUGACGGUACCCGGAGAAGAAGCUCCGGCUAACUUCGUGCCAGCAGCCGCGGUAAUACGAAGGGGGCUAGCGUUGCUCGGAAUUACUGGGCGUAAAGGGCGCGUAGGCGGACAGCUUAGUCAGAGGUGAAAGCCCAGGGCUCAACCUUGGAAUUGCCUUUGAUACUGGCUGUCUUGAGUUUGGGAGAGGUGUGUGGAACUCCGAGUGUAGAGGUGAAAUUCGUAGAUAUUCGGAAGAACACCAGUGGCGAAGGCGACACACUGGCCCAAUACUGACGCUGAGGCUCGAAAGCGUGGGGAGCAAACAGGAUUAGAAACCCGAGUAGUCC